UACGUAGGGUGCAAGCGUUGUCCGGAAUUAUUGGGCGUAAAGAGCUCGUAGGCGGUUUGUCGCGUCUGCUGUGAAAACUCGGGGCUCAACUCCGAGCUUGCAGUGGGUACGGGCAGACUAGAGUGCGGUAGGGGAGACUGGAAUUCCUGGUGUAGCGGUGGAAUGCGCAGAUAUCAGGAGGAACACCGAUGGCGAAGGCAGAUCUCUGGGCCGUAACUGACGCUGAGGAGCGAAAGCGUGGGGAGCGAACAGG
rnacentral:rRNA from 1 species